GACGAACGCUGGCGGCGUGCCUAACACAUGCAAGUUGAGCGACGAACCAGGGCUUGCCCUGGGGCAAAGCAGCGAACGGGUGAGUAACACGUGGGUAACCUACCCCGAUAACCGGGACAACCCGAGGAAACUCGGGCUAAUACCGGAUGUGCUCACUGGACUUCGGUUCAGUGCGUAAAGGAAGCUUCGGCCUCCGUAUCGGGAGGGGCCCUCGGCCUAUUAGUUUGUUGGUGGGGUAACGGCUCACCAAGACCGCGAUGGGUAGCUGGUCUGAGAGGACGAUCAGCCACACUGGGACUGAGACACGGCCCAGACUCCUACGGGAGGCAGCAGUGGGGAAUCUUGCGCAAUGCGCGAAAGCGUGACGCAGCAACGCCGCGUGGGGGAAGAAGGCCUUCGGGUUGUAAACCCCUUUCAGGAGGGACGAAGGUUCGGCGGUGAAUAGCCGUCCGGACUGACGGUACCUCCACAAGAAGCCCCGGCUAACUACGUG
rnacentral:rRNA from 1 species